AUGGAUGUGGGAGCAUCAACUCCAUUCCUUUGGGCCAUUGAGGAGUGUGAUAAAUUGUUAGAAUUCUAUGAAAGAUUACCAGGAGCCAGGAUGCAUGGCAAUUUCAUAUGA
rnacentral:rRNA from 1 species